AAUCAUGACCAGCUCGGAGCCCAGGCAGACCACUGCACCGAAAGUCCCCAAACUCCUCUUCCACUCCUACCUUUACAGACAGCACUCACUGACUUCACUGAAGACCACAACAACCAGAAUAUAUUCAACCUCACAGAAAUAAUAAGUCCAUAAAGGUUUGGAAGCACAUGAGGAGAAACCAAGUGCUUGGCUUGGACCUACAAACAACACUCAAAUGCUGUUUCACCUUCAGUAGACUCAAAGAAAAGCAGUAUGAGUUGUUCUCCAGUGUUUA